rnacentral:rRNA from 1 species
UGAGUAACACGUGGGUGAUCUGCCCUGCACUUCGGGAUAAGCCUGGGAAACUGGGUCUAAUACCGGAUAGGACCACGGGAUGCAUGUCCUGUGGUGGAAAGCUUUUGCGGUGUGGGAUGGGCCCGCGGCCUAUCAGCUUGUUGGUGGGGUGACGGCCUACCAAGGCGACGACGGGUAGCCGGCCUGAGAGGGUGUCCGGCCACACUGGGACUGAGAUACGGCCCAGACUCCUACGGGAGGCAGCAGUGGGGAAUAUUGCACAAUGGGCGCAAGCCUGAUGCAGCGACGCCGCGUGGGGGAUGACGGCCUUCGGGUUGUAAACCUCUUUCACCAUCGACGAAGGUCCGGGUUUCUCGGAUUGACGGUAGGUGGAGAAGAAGCACCGGCCAACUACGUGCCAGCAGCCGCGGUAAUACGUAGGGUGCGAGCGUUGUCCGGAAUUACUGGGCGUAAAGAGCUCGUAGGUGGUUUGUCGCGUUGUUCGUGAAAUCUCACGGCUUAACUGUGAGCGUGCGGGCGAUACGGGCAGACUGGAGUACUGCAGGGGAGACUGGAAUUCCUGGUGUAGCGGUGGAAUGCGCAGAUAUCAGGAGGAACACCGGUGGCGAAGGCGGGUCUCUGGGCAGUAACUGACGCUGAGGAGCGAAAGCGUGGGGAGCGAACAGGAUUAGAUACCCUGGUAGUCCACGCCGUAAACGGUGGGUACUAGGUGUGGGUUUCCUUCCUUGGGAUCCGUGCCGUAGCUAACGCAUUAAGUACCCCGCCUGGGGGAGUACGGGCCGCAAGGCUAAAACUCAAAAGGAAUUGACGGGGGGCCCGCACAA